rnacentral:rRNA from 1 species
CGUAGGUGGCAAGCGUUGUCCGGAUUUAUUGGGUUUAAAGGGUGCGUAGGUGGCCCUGUAAGUCAGUGGUGAAAUAUCUCAGCUUAACUGAAAGGGUGCCAUUGAUACUGCAGGGCUUGAGUACAGAUGAGGUAGGCGGAAUUGACGGUGUAGCGGUGAAAUGCAUAGAUAUCGUCAAGAACACCGAUAGCGAAGGCAGCUUACCAAGCUGUAACUGACACUGAGGCACGAAAGUGUGGGGAUCAAACAGGAUUAGAUACCCUGGUAGUCCACACUGUAAACGUUGAUGACUCGAUGUUGGCGAUACACAGCCAGCGUCCAAGAGCAAUCGUUAAGUCAUCCACCUGGGGAGUACGCCGGCAACGGUG